CUCCUUGUGUUAAGGUGCAUCUAGUGCAGUUAGUGACAUAGCGUAGCAUCUACUGCCCUAAAUGCUCCUUUUGGCACAGGGU
rfam:Xenopus laevis strain J chromosome 8L, whole genome shotgun sequence.